rnacentral:rRNA from 1 species
UGAGCAAGCUGCCCUUCUCAUCGGAAUAAGCGUUGGAAACGACGUCUAAUGCCGAAUACGACCUCCUUUCGCAUGAUCGGAGGUGGAAAGCUCCGGCGGAGAAGGAUGAGCUCGCGGCCUAUCAGCUAGUUGGUGUGGGUAACGGCCCACCAAGGAGACGACGGGUAGCCGGCCUGAGAGGGUGACCGGCCACACUGGGACUGAGACACGGCCCAGACUCCGUACGGGAGGNAGCG